rnacentral:lncRNA from 1 species
CCAUAAGUAGCGUGUGUGCUCUCCCUCCUCUGUGCGUUCCUCUCCCGCCUCACCCCAGCCCUGCCUGACUCACCCCUCGCAUCUUUCCAAGACUCCACUGCUGCGGAGGGAUAAUGCCUUACUCGCGUCGGAAGAGGAUGCGAGCAAUUAGCUGAGGGCCUGGCCUCAGCGUCCAUCCGGGGCUCCUUGGAGGAUUCUGUGUUCUGUACGGGAGGAUAAUCUGCUUAGAGAUAAUUUAGGAAAACCAAUGGGGUGAGGAUGGCUCUUGGGUUUGCUGGAAAGGGCAGUUCCCUUCCCUACAGAAUGCGGUGUGAAAAACACGUCGUGGACAUCCUGUGCGUUGAAGCUUGCUGACCGAGGAUCCAGGCACAGGGCAAGGGAAAAAGCGUCCUCGCUCGCAGAACCGCUCAGUCCGCUUGCAGCUGCCUGAAACGCAGGAACUCUCCAGGGCAAGCAAGACCCCAGAACAGAAUGUUCCAACAGUGGAAUGGCAGGAUGUGCAGUCUUCUCCUAAGGUGCCUGCACCAUUCAGACCUCCGGACUUCACUCUGUGGGGAAAAGAUGCUCGGCCUGGAGUCCAGCUCCGUUCCAGCUUCCUCAGGAUCUCUGUCUGCCAGAUGCCCCAUGUGUCAUUGCUCACAUCUCCUCCUCAACUGGCUCAAUGCACUUAGCAUUUAAAUACAUGUAAGUAUUUCCAUCCUCACAACAGAAAUAGAACUCUCCUCAGUGUCCUCAGCCCACUCCUCUGGCUCUUCCUUCCUCUUCACAGUCAAGGCUCGAAUCUGUUCACGCUCCAGCCCCCCAC